GCCAUGCCGCGUGUGUGAUGAAGGCUUUAGGGUUGUAAAGCUCUUUCCCCAGGGAUGAUAAUGACUGUAUCUGGUAAAGAAACCCCGGAUAACUCCCUGCCAGCAGCCGCGGUAUUACGACGU
rnacentral:rRNA from 1 species